GACAGAGGAUGCAAGCGUUAUCCGGAAUGAUUGGGCGUAAAGCGUCUGUAGGUGGCUUUUUAAGUCCGCCGUCAAAUCCCAGGGCUCAACCCUGGACAGGCGGUGGAAACUACCAAGCUGGAGUACGGUAGGGGCAGAGGGAAUUUCCAGUGGAGCGGUGAAAUGCGUAGAUAUUGGAAAGACCACCAAUGGCGAAGGCACUCUACUGGGCCAUUACUGGCACUGAGAGACGAAAGCUAGGGGAGCAAAUGGG
rnacentral:rRNA from 1 species